CUUCACAAUAACCAUGCUAUUAUACUGACCACUCAUUACAUAAUUUACCAGAAAAUUAUGCAGAAGUAGCAUAAGUCUUUCCAACAUUAAUGCAAAGACAUUAUCACUGAUUUUGAUUUUGAGAUGUGGUCUCAGGUAAAGUGAUAAUUGUAUUAAAACUAAUCUUUUUUUCAAAUGCAUUCCAAGAUCUCAAUUUUCUCCCUCAAAUAUUACCAUAAAAACUGAUGUCUUAGCCCACACAAUCCUUUCUAUCAAAUUCCUCACAACCAGGCUUUGGAUAGAGGGAAUUUCUAAGCCCUGCUGUGGCCGUCUCCACCUGCUCUUCCACGCCAUUCCUCCUUCUUCCAUGCGCACACUUAUAUCUCUAAGAACCUAUCUCACGAAUCAAUAUUCUACCUCUGUUAGCUCAACUCUCCGAGUCAUUCUAGUUGAGGAAAAAAGAGUGGGAAAGUAAAAUUACCACUGUGGUCAAGAUUAAGACAACUUAAACCAGAAGCUGAAUUCCAACCUCUGUGAAGCAUGAAGAACACCGAGAAACACAGGCUGCUAGGAAUUACUGCCUUGACUCUACCUUGAGAUUUCAGCCUUUCCAGUUCCCUUAUAUCUAGUAAAGCAUCAUUAAUUUGGGGCUUCACUAAUUCAAAAAUUGUUAAGAGUUCACACAGGUACUCUGUUGAAGUUUAAUUUUACACUAAGAAUAAUGACAGAUUGCAAACAAUACUAGUAGCAUUAGGAGGAUAUUCACUAUAAAAAACCUUAUCUUCACAAUACAUAUAAAGAGGAUAGUCACAAAAAAUGUAUCUUCAUAAUAUAUAAGGGGGAUAGUCACAAAAAAAGAUCUUCAAGUACUGCAAAAGAACUUGUUUGUUUACAAUAUUAUGCUUAAAAUAUAUGUUACAGUCCCUCUCAGGAAAUUCUAAGCAGUCAUUACAUUAUUACACAUUGCUAGAAGGAAAUGAUAGUUUUCAGACUAAUUUGAAGUAGCUUUUCUCCCAAAGAUUUCCAAAAUAUUUUUUAAUAAACACAAACACAUUGCAAUACUGUUUAGUGCAUUUAAUAAAAUGGAAAAUAGUACACUAGUACUGUGAUUAUACUUUAGUUUCAAGAGAUAAUUGUUAAUAUACAUGUAUAUAUUUUAGAUAGGGUCUCACUCUGUUGCUCAGGCUGGAUUGAGAUGGUAUGAUUUUGACUCACUGCAGCCUGGCCUCCCAGGCUCAAUUGAUCCUCCCACCUCAGCUUCCCAAGUAGCUGGGACUACAGGCACACACGACCAUGCCUGGCUAAUUUUUGUAUUUUUUGUAGAGACAGGGUUUUGUCAUGUUGCCCAGGUUGGCCUCAAACUCCUGAGUUAAAGCAAUCCAACCGCCUUGGCCUCCCAAACUGAUUAUUAAUUUUAAAAUGUCCGUUGGUAACCACUCUUAACAUAUUUUACCCGUAGAGAAUUUUUCUGAAGAAAAAUAAUUAACAUAGAAACAGAAAUGUCAAAAUUUGUCUAAUUAUCUAAUUUACUCAUUACUGACCCAUACUGGUUUUAUUGAUUUUAUUUAUAUGCUAUGUGUUUUAAUUAUCUAUUGUAUAAUAAAUUACCCCAAAACUUAGCAGCUUAAAACAACAAACAUGUAUUAUCUUACAUGGUUUCUGAGAGUUAGUUCUCUGGGGGUGGCUAAGCUGGGUGGCGCUGGCUUGGCUGUCAUUGCAGCUGUUGUCUCGACUGAAGGCUGAGGGAGGAUCCACUUCCAGGCUUUCUCCAUGGUUGUUGGCAGGCCUCAGUUACUUGCCUGAGUUCUCAGGCUGGAGUCCUCAGUUCCUUAGCAAAUGAGACUCCAGAGGCUGUUUGAGUGUCCUCUCAUAUGACAGUUUGCUUCCCCACAGCAAAUGAUCCAAGAGAGAAAGAGUGUGACUGCCUACGAUGGAAGCCAUGGUCUUGAUGACCUAACAACAUACCAUAUGACAUAUCAUCACUUCUGCUCAGUUCUACUGCUCGCAUAGACCAACCCUGGCACAAAGUGGGAAGGGACUUCACAAGCAUGUGGAUACCAAGACACAGGGUGUGAAUACCAGGAGGCGGAGAUCACUGGGAUCCAUUUUGGGGCUUUGCUAACACACUAUGAUUUUUUAAAAGAAGAAUACAAAAAAAAGGGAAGAAAACACAAUAUGGGGGAAGGAAAUGUUCACUCAGAAGGUCCAGAAACACAUUCAAAUAUAUAUAAAAAUACUGUAUACUAAAGAAUGGUCUCUAUAUAUUUGAGUAUGUUUCUGGGCUUUAUUUUUAUUUUAUUUAUUUGAGCCACUGUGCCCAGGCUUUAUUUUUAUUUUUUGAGAUAGGGUCUCACUCUAUCACACAGGCUGGAGUGCAAUGGUGCAGUCACAGAUCACUAUAGCCUUGACCUCCCAUGCUCAAGUAACCCUCCCACCUCAGCCUCCUGAGUAGCUGGCACUACAGACAAUGUGCCACCUCACCUGGUGAAUUUUUUGAGACAGUCUCCCUCUGUCACCUAGGCUGGAGUGCAAUGGUGCGAUCUCGGCUCACUGCAACCUCCACCUCCCUAAUUCAAGCAAUUCUCUUGCCUCAGCCUCCCAAGUACCUGGGACUACAGGCGUGCACCACCGCGCCCAGCUAAUUUUUGUGUUUUUAGUAGAGAUGGGAUUUCACCAUGUUGGCCAGGCUGGUCUCAAACUCCUGACCUUGUGAUUCACCCCCUUGGCCUUACAGGCGUGAGCCACUGCACCGGGCCAUCUGGUGAAUUUUUUAAAUCUUUUGUAGAGACAAGGUCUCUCUAUGUUGCCCAGGCUGGCCUUGAGCAAUCCAUGUGCUCAGGUGAUCAAGUGAUCUCACUAUGUUGCCCAACUCCUGGUCUCAAGUGAUCUGCCUUGGUCUCAAAGUGCUGGGAUUACAGGUAUAAGCCACCAUGCCCAACUCAUUUCUGGGCUAUUUCAGUCCAUUGAUCUGGCUAUUACAGCAUCACCAUUAUACUGGUUUUGAUUAUUAUAUUAUUAAAACGUAGUAUCUGGUAGAAGAAAAAGAGAAGAAAAUUUUAAUUUUUAACAAUAACAAAAGUGUAAUUUAAAAAAAAAACUUUGCAACAGCUUUUUUUGUUUGUUUGUUUGAGAUGGAGUCUUGCUCUGUUGCCCAGGCUGGAGUGCAGUGGUGUGAUCUCGGCUCACUGCAACCCCUACCUCCCAGGUUCAAGCGAUUCUCCUGCCUCAGCCUCCCAAGUAGCUGGGAUACAGGCAUGCACCACCAUGCCUGGCU
rnacentral:lncRNA from 1 species